rnacentral:lncRNA from 1 species
UGGAUAUGAGCAGCAUUGCUGCAUGUUUUUGAGUAGAGAAAUCACAAUAAAAAUGUUGUAUUGGGACUUAAAUGUUUGGAGAAUAAUGAUUGUUUUGUAUGAUAUCAAAACAGGAGGUUCUGUAUUUGAGUCUCGUCAAACUGUUAAUGUUAUUUAUUUUUCAGACGUGAGACAGAAUGUUGAAUAUAAAAUAUAUAAGCGAUGUUUACUUAUAAUUUAAGUUGAUGGAUAAUAAUAUUUUUAUAUUUUUAUAUUUAAUAAUUUAGAAUCAGACCCCGUUUGGAUAUCUAGUUAAAA